rfam:TPA: Bos taurus chromosome 2, whole genome shotgun sequence.
UCUCUGAUGGCUCAGACGGUAAAGUGUCUACCUACAAUGCAGGAGACCCAGGUUCAAUCCCUGGGUCAGGAA